AGAGUUUGAUCAUGGCUCAGGAUGAACGCUAGCGGCAGGCCUAAUACAUGCAAGUCGAACGCUCAGUAGCAAUACUGGGAGUGGCGCACGGGUGCGUAACGCGUACACAAUCUACCUCUAAGCGGGGGACACCUCCUGGAAACGGGGAUUAAUACCGCAUAAUAUGCCGAAGUCGCAUGACUUUGGUAUUAAAGCAGCAAUGCACUUAGAGAUGAGUGUGCGUCCCAUUAGGUAGUUGGUGAGGUAACGGCUCACCAAGCCUAUGAUGGGUAGCCGGUCUGAGAGGAUGGUCGGCCACACGGGCACUGAGACACGGGCCCGACUCCUACGGGAGGCAGCAGUAAGGAAUAUUGGUCAAUGGUGGAAACACUGAACCAGCCAUGCCGCGUGGAGGAAUAAGGUCCUACGGAUUGUAAUCUCCUUUUGACGAGGAAGAAAAUGUUAGAUUUAUCUAAUUUUGACGGUACUCGUAGAAUAAGCACCGGCUAACUCCGUG
rnacentral:rRNA from 1 species